rnacentral:lncRNA from 1 species
AUGCAAAAUGUUUGGUCGUUUAGACCAAACGGGUUAAAGGGAUAAGAACGGCUUACGGAAGUUUGCAUUUGCUAUAAAUUAGCAAAAUCAUUAAAGCAAGAUAUUAGAGCGGGUCAAUACUUGACCCGAGCCAGGUGAAUGCCAAGAUGUCCCGGAUGAAGAUCAAGCUCAUUGAAGAACCGAACACGAUCAAGAUACCAGCUUCCGCACAUGGU